GAUGAACGCUGGCGGCGUGCCUAAUACAUGCCAGUCGAGCGAACAGACGAGGAGCUUGCUCCUUUGACGUUAGCGGCGGACGGGUGAGUAACACGUGGGUAACCUACCUAUAAGACUGGGAUAACUUCGGGAAACCGGAGCUAAUACCAGAUAAUAUUUCGAACCGCAUGGUUCGAUAGUGAAAGAUGGCUUUGCUAUCACUUAUAGAUGGACCUGCGCCGUAUUAGCUAGUUGGUAAGGUAACGGCUUACCAAGGCAACGAUACGUAGCCGACCUGAGAGGGUGAUCGGCCACACUAGAAGUGAGACACGGUCCAGACUCCUACGGGAGGCAGCAGUAGGGAAUCUUCCGCAAUGGGCGAAAGCCUGACGGAGCAACGCCGCGUGAGUGAUGAAGGUCUUCGGAUCGUAAAACUCUGUUAUUAGGGAAGAACAAACGUGUAAGUAACUGUGCACGUCUUGACGGUACCUAAUCAGAAAGCCACGGCUAACUACGUG
rnacentral:rRNA from 1 species